UGGGGAAUUUUGGACAAUGGGGGCAACCCUGAUCCAGCAAUGCCGCGUGAGUGAAGAAGGCCUUCGGGUUGUAAAGCUCUUUUGUCAGGGAAGAAACAGCAGCUCUAACACAGUCUGCGAAUGACGGUACCUGAAGAAUAAGCACCGGCUAACUACGUGCCAGCAGCCGCGGUAAUACGUAGGUCCCAAGCGUUAUCCGGAAUUACUGGGUGUAAAGCGUCUGUAUGGGGAUUUGUAAGUUUCAUAUGAAAGACCAGGGCUCAACCCUGUGUUUGUGUGAAAAACUGCAAAUCUAGAAUUAGGGAGAGGUAAACGGAAUGGUAUGAGUAGAGGUGCAAUUCGUAGAUACAUACCAGAACACCAAAAGCGAAGGCAGUUUACUGGAACUAUAUUGACCCUGAGAGACGAAAGCGUGGGGAGCGAAAAGG
rnacentral:rRNA from 1 species